rnacentral:rRNA from 1 species
UAUAGCCAUACCACUCUGACUACACCUAAUCUUGUUUGUUCUUGGAAGCUAAGUAGGGUUAGGAGAAAGUGCAGAUAUUUUGUUUGAGAAAAAAAGAAUAUUUAUAUCUAUAU